rnacentral:tRNA from 1 species
UCCUCAGCAGCUCAAUGGUGGAGCAACCGGCUGUUAACCGUAGGCUGGCUGUUCGAGUCCGUCCUGAGGAGCCA